CAGGGAAUAGUUUAAACAGAACAUUAGCUUUGGGUGCUGAUAGUGGGGCUGUUGCUUCUUCCUUGA
rnacentral:tRNA from 1 species